rnacentral:rRNA from 1 species
CCUACGGGUGGCUGCAGUCGAGAAUAUUUAGCAAUGGACGAAAGUCUGACUAUGCGACGCCGCGUGAAGGAUGAAGGUCUUCGGAUCGUAAACUUCUUUUGUCAGGGAAGAAUAUCCCGAUGGUAAUACCAUCGGGAUUGACGGUACCUGAUGAAUAAGCCACGGCCAACUCCGUGCCAGCAGCCGCGGUAAUACGGAGGUGGCAAGCGUUACUCGGAAUCAUUGGGUGUAAAGGGCAAGUAGGCGGUCUAUUAAGUGAGGGGUGAAAGCCUGCGACUCAAUCGCAGAAUUGCCUUUCAAACUGGUAGACUUGAGGGAGGAAGAGGAAAGCGGAAUUCGCGGUGUAAGGGUGAAAUCUGUAGAUAUCGCGAAGAACACCAGCGGCAAAGGCGGCUUUCUGGUCCUCUCCUGACGCUAAAUUGCGAAAGCUAGGGGAGCAA